rnacentral:piRNA from 1 species
GAGGAUGGUAGAUGUGUUAGACC